UACGUAGGUGGCAAGCGUUGUCCGGAGUUAUUGGGCGUAAAGCGCGCGCAGGCGGUGCGGUAAGUCUCUGGUGAAAGCGCUCGGCUUAACUGGGCGAGGGCCGGGGAGACUGCCACGCUGGAGGGGAGCAGAGGCGAGUGGAAUUCCGGGUGUAGCGGUGAAAUGCGUAGAUAUCGGGAGGAACACCUGUGGCGAAAGCGGCUCACUGGACCAUAACUGACGCUGAUGCACGAAAGCUGGGGGAGCAAACAGG
rnacentral:rRNA from 1 species